UACGUAGGUGACAAGCGUUGUCCGGAUUUACUGGGCGUAAAGAGCGCGCAGGCGGUCGAUCAAGUCGCGUGUGAAAGCCCCCGGCUCAACUGGGGAGAGUCACGCGAUACUGAUCGACUCGAAGGCAGGAGAGGGUAGUGGAAUUCCCGGUGUAGUGGUGAAAUGCGUAGAUAUCGGGAGGAACACCAGUGGCGAAGGCGACUACCUGGCCUGUUCUUGACGCUGAGGCGCGAAAGCUAGGGGAGCAAACGGG
rnacentral:rRNA from 1 species